rnacentral:sRNA from 1 species
GCCCUUGUAUUAUGUGUGCGGUAUCGGAAACGACCUGUAAUCGCUGUCGUAGGCGUUAGGAUCACUAAUAUACAAGGGCUU